rnacentral:tRNA from 1 species
UUCUCUUAAGUUAAAACAUCAAAUUGCAAACUUGAAGAAUAAAGAGAAA